CCAGUCUCAGCCGUGUCCUAUAGGCAUCUCGACCCCCGCGUAUAGACCCUCCCGGCGCCGUCCUUGAUUCUGCUCCGUGUUCCUCGUUUCCUUGUUUCUCCUCCUGCUCCUUGACGAUUCUCUCUCCUCGGUCGCUGAUCCUCGCCUCCAGACGGAAUUUUGAAUUUCCGCGCCAUCUCCCGUAGAAAUUCACCGCUUCCAUUUCCUCCGUCUGGCAACUCCGCUCCAACUCACAAUCGCGUUAAUCGAUCGUGGUGAGCAGCGUUGCCACUUCCAAGUCUUCGAUCGUGCUUUAGCGUUGCCAUUUUCAUUCCAGUCCAUCUCGAAUUUCCAUUGUUUACAAAUGCGCACAGCUUUCCGAUGCUCCUUGCUGAAUCCACUCCGACACGCACUUGUAGCUGUAGCUACUGCAAGUGGUGCAGCACGUUACCGGUUGCCGUGUUGGUGAUCUGUGCCACUGUACGUCCCGCUGCUGUUGAUCGCUGUUGCCGUGGUUGCCUCGUAGUCGGCGGUGUGUACCGCCUUCACCCUUGCCGGCGACUGCGGUCCUGAUGUCUGUGGUGACUGUGGUUGCUGCUGUGCUAUCCAGUUUUCGCGCUCCAGCGGCUAAACCUCUGCCUGUGCGCCUGCUACGGGUUACGAUACGCCGUAUCGUCUUCCCCCUUCCUUCGAAGAUGUUCGUCCUCGGGUCUGCCGCUCUGCAUCGCCUCGCACUCCUUCUUGCACUCUUGGUCCGGACAAUCACGCUUGGGCGCCAGAUGUAACGAACUGUUUUCUACUGUUUGAUCGCUACGUAAACGCCGCGACUAGCUCAGAGAUAUUGUGUGUUCGUCCCACCAAAUUUGUAUUGCGUGACUGCCCGUGACCCAAGAAAAUGCAGAGAUAUCCGAUUGGGACAAAUCGGAAAACUUUA